UAGAUAACAUCAUCUAUGAUCCAUAAGGACUGAACCUAUUUCCUGAGUGUCGGUUUCUGACUUGGACAGAGCAGAGCUGUGAAUUGAAUCAACACCCAGAAGAAUUGGGAGCAAUGUUAUGGAGAAAAUGUCUCUGUCCAGCAGUGUCCAAAAUGGAAGCAGUGGUCAAGGAUUCAUUGAGCAACGUCAACACGGCCCUGAUGAUGACACUUUAAAGCCUUUCUAGCUCUGAGAAUAACUUCCCUUUAAUUACUUUUCCAGUCCUGCAAGGCACAAAGCCAAACAAAGAAAUCACAGGGCUGCAUUUAGUCCUCAAACCACCCAAUUGCCACCUGCCCGAAUACAGUCUCCCAUUUGAUGCUUGGAUUCUGCCACAGCAUCCCUGGAAAGUGAUGGGAGCUGACGUCUGAAGGACUGAGUGGGCUGCAUGUCUGUGCUGGCUCAAUCCCAUGGCGGCCAGUUGAUGUGGCCAUGAGCUGGGCCCCCCUGUAACCGACUUGUGUGGUCUGGUCUUCUCCUAGUAUGGAAGCUUGGUUCCAACUGGAAACACCAGAAGAGACUCA